rnacentral:rRNA from 1 species
UACAGAGGGUGCGAGCGUUAAUCGGAAUUACUGGGCGUAAAGCGCACGUAGGCGGCUUGGUAUGUCGGGUGUGAAAUCCCCGGGCUCAACCUGGGAACUGCAUCCGAAACUGCCUUGCUCGAGUAUGGGAGAGGGAAGUGGAAUUUCCGGUGUAGCGGUGAAAUGCGUAGAUAUCGUCUGGAACGCCAAAGGUGAAAACAGACUGCUGGGAGUGUGCUGACGCUGAGACACGAAAGCCAGGGGAGCAAACGGG